rnacentral:lncRNA from 1 species
ACCAAACACGCCCGUACAGCUCAUCUAAGGAAGAUAUCAUUCCGGCCAGCAGUGCGUUGCAAAAUGAUAUACCUAAUAACCAUCACAUACUCACAUAAUGAUUGGAUUUGAAGCAAGUCCAAUCGUCAACCACCGAGUGCGAGUGCGACCAACGCACCAUUAUUCUGCCCGGCACCAACCGGAAACGCAAUCAACAACUCCACGGCACCACGCCAACCAAAUCACUGCCACUGCCAAAACAGCAUUGCACCAUGCAGCAGCACAUAGUUAGCUCGCGUGGCGCUAUCAUCAGGUCAGUGCUAAUUCUUCUAGCUCCAAAUCCACAAAUUCCCCAAAUGCCCAUGACUGUAAUCGACGAAACAGCUGUUACAGCAUCGUAACUGACAAGCAGGAGCAUAGCAGGAUCGAAGGAUGUAACCAUGGAAAGUAAACGGGGCAUUUGUGCAUGCGCCACAGAUGGGCGGUGGCUGCCGGCAUUCUGAUACUUCAUCG